rnacentral:rRNA from 1 species
CCUACGGGUGGCAGCAGUGGGGAAUAUUGCACAAUGGGGGAAACCCUGAUGCAGCGACGCCGCGUGAGUGAGGAAGUAUUUCGGUAUGUAAAGCUCUAUCAGCAGGGGAGAAAAUGACGGUACCUGACUAAGAAGCCCCGGCUAACUACGUGCCAGCAGCCGCGGGAAUACGGAGGGGGCAAGCGUUAUCCGGAUUUACUGGGUGUAAAGGGAGCGUAGACGGAUAAGCAAGUCUGAUGUGAACAUCCGGGGCCCAACCCCGGAAUUGCAUUUGAAACUGCAUAGCUAGAGUGUCGGAGAGGCAAGUGGAAUUCCUGGUGUAGCGGUGAAAUGCGUAGAUAUCAGGAGGAACACCAGUGGCGAAGGCGGCUUGCUGGACGAUGACUGACGUUGAGGCUCGAAAGCGUGGGGAGCGAACAGGAUUAGAUACCCUUGUAGUC